rnacentral:rRNA from 1 species
UACGGAAGGGGCAAGCGUUGUUCGGAAUCAUUGGGCGUAAAGGGCGCGUAGGUGGCGGCGUAUGUCGGCCGUGAAAGCGCACGGCUCAACCGUGCUGGGUCGGCGGAAACUGCGUCGCUUGAGGCUGGGAGGGGCUGGUGGAAUUCCCCGUGUAGCGGUGAAAUGCGUAGAGAUGGGGGAGAACACUCGUGGCGAAGGCGGCCAGCUGGACCAGUCCUGACACUGAGGCGCGACAGCGUGGGGAGCAAACAGG